rnacentral:rRNA from 1 species
UUAAAUUGAAGAGUUUGAUCAUGGCUCAGAUUGAACGCUGGCGGCAGGCCUAACACAUGCAAGUCGAACGGUAACAGAAAGCAGCUUGCUGCUUUGCUGACGAGUGGCGGACGGGUGAGU